GGGGGGCGGGGCCGCGGUGACGCCGGAACUGACGCGGCGGGAGGGGGCGGGGCCGGCCGGGUCACGUGGGAGCGGCGGCCGAGCGGCGCGCGCGGCGGCGGGAGGGGGCGGCGCCGGCGGCCGAUGAAGGUGGCCUGUGCUGUGCUGGCGCUGGCGCUGGUGGCGACGGUGACGCCGACGGUGCUGCAGGCGCUGGGGCGGCGGUUGCUCACCAUGGCCUCGGGCGCCCGCGACCCCCCCGGCGACCCCCCCGGCGACCCCCAUGACCCCCCCCGGCGACCCCUACGUCCCCGGCAGCCUCUCGGCCGCCUUCGUCACCUGCCCCAACGAGACGGUGGCCAAAGAGCUGGGCAGGGCGAUGGUGGAGAAGCGCCUGGCGGCCUGUGUCAACAUCCUGCCCCACGUCACCUCCAUGUGAGUGGGGGGUCACGGGGGGU